UACGUAGGGGGCAAGCGUUGUCCGGAUUUAUUGGGCGUAAAGAGCGUGUAGGCGGCUUUACAGGUCGGUUGUGAAAACUCGAGGCUCAACCUCGAGACGCCGGUGGAAACCGUAAAGCUAGAGUCCGGAAGAGGAGAGUGGAAUUCCUGGUGUAGCGGUGAAAUGCGCAGAUAUCAGGAAGAACACCCGUGGCGAAGGCGGCUCUCUGGGACGGUACUGACGCUGAGACGCGAAAGCGUGGGGAGCGAACAGG
rnacentral:rRNA from 1 species